AGUGAACGCUGGCGGUAGGCCUAACACAUGCAAGUCGAACGGCAGCACAGUAAGAACUUGCUCUUACGGGUGGCGAGUGGCGGACGGGUGAGGAAUACAUCGGAAUCUACUUUUUCGUGGGGGAUAACGUAGGGAAACUUACGCUAAUACCGCAUACGACCUACGGGUGAAAGCAGGGGAUCUUCGGACCUUGCGCGAUUGAAUGAGCCGAUGUCGGAUUAGCUAGUUGGCGGGGUAAAGGCCCACCAAGGCGACGAUCCGUAGCUGGUCUGAGAGGAUGAUCAGCCACACUGGAACUGAGACACGGUCCAGACUCCUACGGGAGGCAGCAGUGGGGAAUAUUGGACAAUGGGCGCAAGCCUGAUCCAGCCAUACCGCGUGGGUGAAGAAGGCCUUCGGGUUGUAAAGACCUUUUGUUGGGAAAGAAAAGCAGAAGGUUAAUACCCCGCUGUUCUGACGGUACCCAAAGAAUAAGCACCGGCUAACUUCGUG
rnacentral:rRNA from 1 species